UUGAUUUGUUGGUAGGUGAGCGAAGAACGGCGGUCGGAGGAGAAGCGGCGGCACACGCGAUAGUCGUAAAAUGUUAGGAUAACAAAGCGCGUGUAAGAUCGGAAACCGUAGCCGCGACUAACUCGGUUCCUUCGUUGUUAUCCUUCGUGACUUUACUCUAUGAGGAAAUUUUUAUACCUCCGGAUAAACGCGCGAAGAAAUUCACCCGAACCCCGUAACGGAUUAAAUUUUCAGAGCGGAUGGACGGAUAGGAUAGGAACCAGCGUCCGAUUUCUUUCGGGAUAAAACGCUCGUUUCUUUUCGGUACGUCUGCGUCUGAAUUUUGAAAAAAUUAAAAGCUGGAACGCCGCAUAUCGUGUGUGUGUUCGUAUUCCGAUGGCAAAACGAAAGAAAAAAAAAAAAAAAAAAAAAAAAAACUAGGAAUGAAAAAAGCGCGGGCUCGUUAAUUAAUAAAAGUGCAGGUGCUCCGACUGGUUUCCCCCGGACAAAGAGUCGUUGUGAACCAGAUACGUAUUACAAUACGUGUAUUGCAUGACGUAUCAAAGUCAAGUAUAGAUCAAAGCCCUAGACUGAUGGAGCAAAUCGCGCAACGUAUCAUACGUACGUACAUACGUUAACGGACGAGGAUCAAUGUUGCGCGAUCUUCGGGUGGGGAUAAAAAAUUAAAACCUGAAGGGACACGGGCGUCGUUACGUCGUACGAACGAUAACGUCAUCCUCGUUGUUACUACCCCCCCGUCAAUUUUCUCUGUUUCGUUUGAAUUUUUUUUUCCCUCGCAUUGUAUCGCCGCAUAUCUUCUGCCAGGUAAGCCAGUUUCGUUCCACGGCGAUUCUAAUAUCGAGAUCGAAUUGAUGGCCACCAUAAAUUUCGUUCUUUCGUCCCGCACAAUAGCUGCCUAGAGAGGGACGGUUCUUUCGCGGUCCUGGGCAACAAUCCUGCAGUGUCCCAGAUACCCGCCGGUACAGGACCUCGAAAAAAUUCCUCGUCCACGGAUUUGAUGAUUUUUCGAAAAUUCCUCACGCUCGUUCGUCCGUCGGAGCUGACCCUGAGGCUGGACUUAAAAGUUGCGAUAAACGAAUGAGAUAAAAUGAUAAUUGAAAAUUAUCGGGAUCGACCGGUUCGGACAAACAAGAUUCGGAUCGUAGUGAAUUCGAAAGAAUCGUGUGUAUUAAGCGCAUUAUAAAGCGAUAUUUUAUUUUGAAUAUCAGAUUACGAUGUUCGCCGAAGGUUCGGAGGCCCCCGAGGCUGAUAAAAUUUCGACCGUCCGGCGAAAUUGCGCCAUCGGACACACAAUACCUGGCCGCGCACCGUAUUUUCCGCGUUAAUAUAACGAACAGAUCCCAGAGAACCGUGAACGUGCUGCUGUACGUGGUCCAGCUGACUGACGCAAUGAUUCAUACUACCGUCCGAAUUUCGAUGCUCUCGCCGCAGAUCUCUUCGAUAAAAAGAUGAGAAGAAGAAGAA